rnacentral:rRNA from 1 species
UGCAAGUCGACGGCAGCACGGGUGCUUGCACCUGGUGGCGAGUGGCGAACGGGUGAGUAAUACAUCGGAACAUGUCCUGUAGUGGGGGAUAGCCCGGCGAAAGCCGGAUUAAUACCGCAUACGAUCUAUGGAUGAAAGCGGGGGACCUUCGGGCCUCGCGCUAUAGGGUUGGCCGAUGGCUGAUUAGCUAGUUGGUGGGGUAAAGGCCUACCAAGGCGACGAUCAGUAGCUGGUCUGAGAGGACGACCAGCCACACUGGGACUGAGACACGGCCCAGACUCCUACGGGAGGCAGCAGUGGGGAAUUUUGGACAAUGGGCGAAAGCCUGAUCCAGCAAUGCCGCGUGUGUGAAGAAGGCCUUCGGGUUGUAAAGCACUUUUGUCCGGAAAGAAAUCCUUGGCUCUAAUACAGUCGGGGGAUGACGGUACCGGAAGAAUAAGCACCGGCUAACUACGUGCCAGCAGCCGCGGUAAUACGUAGGGUGCAAGCGUUAAUCGGAAUUACUGGGCGUAAAGCGUGCGCAGGCGGUUUGCUAAGACCGAUGUGAAAUCCCCGGGCUCAACCUGGGAACUGCAUUGGUGACUGGCAGGCUAGAGUAUGGCAGAGGGGGNUAGAAUUCCACGUGUAGCAGUGAAAUGCGUAGAGAUGUGGAGGAAUACCGAUGGCGAAGCAGCCCCCUGGGCCAAUACUGACGCUCAUGCACGAAAGCGUGGGGNAGCAAACAGGAUUAGAUACCCUGGUAGUCCACGCCCUAAANCGAUGUCAACUAGUUGUUGGGGAUUCAUUUNCCUUAGUAACGUAGCUAACGCGUGAAGUUGACCGCCUGG